UUUAUUUUUUUUUUACGGUACUUUGAGUCCGUAUUGAAUGAGUACACUCUAAAUCCUUUAACGAGGAUCCAUUGGAGGGCAAGUCUGGUGCCAGCAGCCGCGGUAAUUCCAGCUCCAAUAGCGUAUACUAAAGUUGCUGCGGUUAAAAAGCUCGUAGUUGGAUCUCAGUUACAGGCGGGAAGUGCGUGGACACCACGUUACGGCCCGUGCUGAACAUCAUGCCUGUCGUGGCUUGGUUCCCUUCAUCAGGUGCCUUGCCUUGGCCGGCGCGUUUACUUUGAAAAAAUUAGAGUGCUCAACGCAGGCGAUUCGCCUGAAUAACAGUGCAUGGAAUAAUAGAACAAGAUCCUGUUUCUGUUCUGUUGGUUUUUGGAAUACAGGAUAAUGAUUAAGAGGGACAGACGGGGGCAUUCGUAUUGCGGCGCUAGAGGUGAAAUUCUUGGACCGUCGCAAGACGAACUACUGCGAAAGCAUUUGCCAAGAAUGUUUUCAUUGAUCAAGAACGAAAGUUAGGGGAUCGAAGAAUUUUGGUUCUUCUGUUUUUUUUUCUUUUUUUUGUUAUUUCUGUUGAUAUUUAAUUUUUUUGAAAUUUCGUAAUAAUUGUUUUGUUUUCUUUUUUUGGCUUAAUCCUGUUUUCUAAUUGUUCUAUUACUGUAAUAAUUUUCCUUAUUGUUAUGUUGACGUUUCAAUGGGUUUGGUUUCCUUAACUUCUUUGUAUUUUUUAGUUCUAAUUUAUAUCCCUUCAAAUGAAUUGAGUCGAUAAAAUUAAUCAUUUUUUUUUCUAUUUAUUUUUCCUAUAU
rnacentral:rRNA from 1 species